GAGACAGAAAGACAGAAACAGAGACAGAAUGUGAUAGCACUCUGUCAGGACCCCUGUGAACAUUCACAGUGCAGACAGCUGGUACUUGGUAAAUGCUUGCAAGAAAAUGAAGAAGUAAGUAUAUAAGUAUACAAAUGGAACUAUAAGAAAUACGUAUUUUGUGGUGGAAUUGAUGGAAGCCAGUCCAUGAAAUGACCAUAAAGAAGUUUUUCAGUGGUUCCUAUUAGUAGAGGGUGACUCAGUAAAGUUGAGAACAUUUUUUCCUGAAGAUCAAACAUUCUGUCGUACAAACCAGUCACUCCUUUUAAUCUCCUAAAACAAUCUUGAUGUUUUAGUGGGAAAAAAAGCCUCUGCAGUAGCCUAGAGCUCAAACGUUACUUACAAUUUCCUGUCUGUCAUCUCGGCAGCUCCCUGCCCCUCUCACUUCAUCCGCCUGCUCGGCGUCCACCCUCGAGACAGCCUGACUUCAGUGAAUGUCCACGUUUACAGGAGCUCAGCAGGCACUUCCUGGCUGGCUCCUUUCAGACAAGGAGCCUCUGUUCGCCUUGGGAUGAGGGAGCAGACAGCCUCUGACUGUCCCAGCUGAGAAUCUGUUAAGAUUUGAAUGUCUGUGCCCUCCCCAAAUCUGUAUGCUGAAAUGCUAGCUUCCAAGGUGAUGGCGUUAGGACAUGGAGCAUGUGAGAGGCGAUUUUAGGCCAUGAGGAUGCACUUUACAAGGACCCAAGAGACCACUUAGUUACUUUAUUCAAGCAGGCAGAUCAAGUCACCAAUCUCCAUGAGGUGAAGGGUAGGAACAAACCUUUUAUGUUCUAUUCUCUCAGAGCAAGAUCUAGACUUUUGGGAGACAGUAAGUAUUUUGUUUUUGUAAUAGUCAUUUGAAAUAGUCAUUUCUAUGAUAUGUGGUUUAUUACACAAGAUAGCUAUGAUGAUGUUGAAACAGGGCUCUCUCAGAUAAUGUCUACUGAGAAGAACUUUGAAGCAUAAAUUUGCUUCAUAUUAUUUGCUGUUCUUGGGGGUGCAAAAACAAAACACCAUAUUCUGUGCAGAAUGGUGGAUAACUUUAUCUCCCUGGCUCUGAAGAAUGAUUUGCCUCUUGGCAAAAAUGAACAAUUGUGGGUUGGGAGUGUAGCUCAGUGUUACAGCACCUAUCUGGCAUCUCCUGCAAAAAUAAAAGGAUUAAGAAUAACAAUGAUUCCAUACAUGGAAUUUAAAUGAGUGCUUCCAGAUUCCCAGUUUUUAUAAAUGCUACUUUCUGUCCUGUGAGAAUUAAAUCCCCUGGGUUUGAAACUGCCUACAUUUCCCCAAGCUUUGAUUGCCCUUGUGGCCCAGGAAAGCGGCCAAGUUAUAGAUCUAGUUCAUAAAAUUAAAAAUCUUAGAUGCUCUCUACUUUAGGAAUGAGCUAAACCCUGUAACUUCAUCCAUGACAACGCAGACUUGAACAGCUUUGGAAAAGUAAGUUGUAAACUGGACACCAUUUUAAGAAAAGCAGAAUAUGUACUCAGAGAAAUUCUCCCUGAUGAGAACUGUCUGUUGGGAUAUUAUUGAGUGAAGAUUUAUUUUAAAAGACAUUCAGCAAGAAAACUGGAAGGCAAGCAGGGAGAAUCAUCACUUCUUGUUGAUAGAUAAGAUAGAGCUGAUUGCACUGAAAUCUUGGGCUAUUCCCUUUUGGUUUUAGGGUCUUUGGCAAGGGCCCAUGUCCAGAAAGACUCUUGUGAGGUGGAAAAGAGAGCCAUCCCAAAAGUGACACAAGUCACUGGCUAUCUUGUGUAAUAAGUCAUUCAGAAACGUGAUGGUAUGCCAUCAGGGCGUUAUUACUACAACUCUGUAGGAAGAACUGGGGAUGUGGGGACCACUACUCUCCAUAUGGCAAGGCCACUUGGCUAGCUUGAGCUUCCUUCCAACAUGGAGAUCUCAAGGCAGCCUGAAAAUUUGGAGGAUUGGGAGGCUGGUGACCAGCUUCUUCCUGAGUCAGUGUUUCAGCAAGCCUAGGUGGAAAUUGCUAGUCUUGUUAGAAGUUAAGCCCAAAUGCAGCCCUGUAUCACUUCCGUUGUUCUGUGUUGGUAACAGCCCAGCCACAGGCCAACUCUGAUUCUAGAGGAGAGGAAAUGACCCUCGCCUCUUGAUAGGAGGAAUGUCAGAAUUUCUUGCCAUCUUUCAUAUACUACCACCAUUAAGGUGAUCUGGUAGAGGAAAGCAGACCAAAGUGUAGCCAAGGCGCUAUGUGGAAGGAUUUUUUUUUUCAUUUCUGCUGUACUUAGUUAUGUGGUUUAUUAUUUGUUCCGUAGUGGAGUGUGAGAGAUUUGGAGAAAUUUGAGAGGACUCCCAAUGUUUGCAGAGAAGCACCGGUUUAAACGCUGGGAAGUAGGACAGAGGGACUUACAAAGUAGGAUUGAUUUGGCCUGGAGCGGGAAGGCAGGAGAGUAGCUGACUCAUCAUCUUCAAAUUCGUGACGGUUGCUAUGAAAUAGAUGCAUGACUGCAGAAAGCAGAGCAAAAGUGGAUUUGUCAGGCUGGAAAUAGCAAAGAAUCCCAACCAAGAUAGGGGCAUCUCUGGGACCUGAAAGAAGUUUCCUUUUCUGAAGCUGUUUGAAAGAGGACACAUUUUAUAUGACUGUAAAGAAUUAGAAUUAGUUUUACUGGGAAAUAGAAGUGGUAGAUUAGAUCACUUUUUCUUUUCUUCUCUUUUGUGUUUUAUAUUGGAACCCUUUUCCAAGCAAAAUCAUGUAUCAAAUAGGAAAAGUGCCGCUGUUUGGGUUGUGGUGAGUAAGGGCACAGCUUCCCUGGGUCUCUUCUGUCUCCUUGCCUUCCCAAGGUCCCAAGCGUCACUGUGGGAGACGCAAAGAUUCUGCAAAAGAUAACUUAAAAAUAAUUAACGCUGAUAAAGUGUCCCCUCACAGUUCUAUAAAAACUGUGUACACUUAAGAGGUUUUUUAUCUUUUGUUUUUCCUCAAAACUGAAGUUAGGCCUUAUGGGUUUGGGAACUUGAUGAGUUCUUUUCAUGAUUCAAAUUCAUGAGAUUUUGUUGUUUCUGAUCUUAGGUUCUAUCUCUUGUGUACUGUCAAAUGACACCUUGUUAUGUACUCUAGAAGUACAUGAGUUACUAAAGGUACCGAGUAUAAUGCAAGCUUUAGUUAACGAUUUUCAUUUUUUGCUUGCUUGGCUGGGUUGAUUAUGAAGUGCAAACGUAUCAUUGAAGAUCAAAGAUGUUAUGCUGGAAUUGAUUCAUGGUGUGAUGCUAAAAUUAAGAGUGUGAGGUCUAUGUGCCCUGAUAUCCUGGACAGAACAUAAGGUACAAAAAAGGACUGCUCUAGUCACUUGCUGCUUCAUUUCUUCACUACUGGGCUGCAUUCUGGCCGCUAUGAACGGUUUCUCAUCGUAAUGGUCCUCUGCCACGUCACCGUGCCUUGGAGCCAGCCAACUGUGAACUGAAACCUUUACAAACUGUGAGCCAAAUAAAUCUUUCUUCCUUUAACUUUGGGUACUAGGUAUUUUGUCUCAACGAAGAGCAAAGACACUGAGUAAUUUAUCGAAGAUUACUUUUUACCAAAUUGGUAAGUGGUGGAUUCAAACCAGGCAUUUUGGUGCAAGAACAUAUGCACUUGGGGUCUACAUCUGUGUUUCCUUGUCUCUCCUCUCCUUUGCUCUCUCAAAGGAAUAAGAAGAGUUUUCCCAGGACCCGUCCAGCAGACAACUCUGCAGCUGAUCGAUUUGUGCCUACUCCUGAGCCAAUCGGAUAACCCUUGCCAAAUAGACCACUUCUGGAGUUGAAAGUGUGGUCAAAAUCCCUCCACGAGCGUUGCUGGCAGGGAAGCAUAGAAGCAUAAACUGAACCUGAGUUCACUUUGGAAGGAAAAAGGGGUAGAGGGAGAGAUUCAUUCUAAGGAGAUAAUCUAUUGCAUUCAGUAGAGGUGACUUCUACUAGCUCUUUGUAGUCAGUGACUGACUCAUUUGAAUGCCAGUUACAUUGAGCCUCCAAGUGAGAAGCCCAUGAGGCAGUUGGACUAUGGUUUAAAACCUGAGGAAAAUUUGGGCUAGAGAUGUAGUUCUUGAUUGGAGCUGAAGAUCUAGGUACCACCCACACAGAGAUUACAGUUUAAGUCUGGACACUCAGAAAAUCUCCAUAGAAGAGUAUAGAGAUUUGAGACAAAAUGGCCCACCAAAAGAUUUAGUGUAUCUUGCACUGUGUUAGAUAGAACAUUUUUUUAUGAUUAAAAAAAAACUGUAAAGCCUCUUUAACAAAUAGUGCUAAAAAUUGAAUAUGCAUUGUAGAAGACUGAAACUAGAUCUCUAUUUCUCACCCUGUAUAAAAAUCAAUUUUAAAUGGAUCAAGCACCUAGGAAUGAAACUUUGAAACUGCUUGAAGAAAAAAAUAGGAGAAAUACUUGCAGGCAUAAGCACAAGCAAAGAAUUCCUGAUUAGAACUCCAAAUAACACCAGCAAUACCAACAAAUGGGACUAUAUCACUGAAACAUUUCUGCACAAGGAAACAAGAAACAGUGUGAAUAGAUAACCCACAGAAUGGGAGAAAAAUCUUUGCUAGGUUCUCUUCCAACAGAAGAUUAUUGCCUAGAAUGUAUAAAGAACUCAGGGGCUGGGGAUUUAGCUCAGCAGCAUAAGCACCUGCCUUGCAAGCAGGCGGUCAUGAGUUCGAUCCCUGGUACCAAUAAAAAGAUAGAAUGUAUAAAGAACUCAAAACAGUUAACAUAAAAAAAUCAGUAGCCCAAUCAAUAAAUGGAUAAGAGAAUUGAGCUGA